CCUACGGGUGGCAGCAGUGGGGGAUAUUGCACAAUGGGGGGAACCCUGAUGCAGCGACGCCGCGUCGGUGAAGAAGCGCCUCGGCGCGUAAAGCCCUGUCAGCAGGGAAGAAAAUGACGGUACCUGACGAAGAAGCCGCUGCUAACUACGUGCCAGCAGCCGCGGUAAUACGUAGGGGGCAAGCGUUAUCCGGCUUUACUGGGUGUAAAGGGGGCGCAGACGGCGAUGCAAGCCAGGAGUGAAAGCCCGGGGCCCAACCCCGGGACUGCUCUUGGUACUGCGUGGCUGGAGUGCAGGAGGGGCAGGCGGAAUUCCUGGUGUAGCGGUGAAAUGCGUAGAUAUCAGGAGGAACACCGGUGGCGAAGGCGGCCUGCUGGACUGCAACUGACGUUGAGGCCCGAAAGCGUGGGGAGCAAACAGGAUUAGAUACCCGAGUAGUC
rnacentral:rRNA from 1 species